ACAAUUCUAUUAUUGAAUUUGUGAUGAAUUAUACCUAACAAAUUCUUCCACAUUUAUUGUUCGUAUUUGUCUUUGAGUUGAUUUUUGCCUUGGAACAUUCUCCUCCAGACUGUUUUGGUUUGACUUUUUUAUUGAUGUACACCUAAGAAGGAGAAUGUUCCAAGGCAAAAAUCGUUUGCGGAUCAUGGAUUUCUCACCGCCAUGGUUAAGGAAGUUACAAGGGAUGUGUGCCAUUGCUUUGUUUGCUUGUUUAGCACAAGGUCCUGUAAAUGCAUCCAACCCCCCAGAAUUGGAAGUCAAGUGGUCUGACUUCCCUAGUGAUUUUGUGUUUGGAGUCUCCACUGCUGCUACACAGAUUGAAGGAUCAGCAAAAGAAGCAGGAAGAGGACCAAGUGUUUGGGACUACUAUGUUGAGAACUUCCCAGAAAGGAUUGCAGAUCACUCCAACAUGUUUACGGCCCUCGAUUCAUACAAGCGAUACAAGGAAGAUGUGAAGGCUGUGAAGAACCUUGGAGUCGGGUCUUACAGAUUUUCCAUCUCUUGGACCAGGAUUCUUCCUGAGGGAACCUUGAGUGGUGGAGUAAACCAACAAGGUAUUGAUCACUACAACAACCUGAUUGAUGAACUGAUCAAGAAUGGCAUCACACCAUAUGUCACUAUAUUGCACUUUGAUGCACCACAAGCUUUGACAGACAAGUAUGGAGGCCCCCUAAAUCGCUCCUUUGUGGAUGAUUUCAAGGAUUAUAGUGAACUUUGCUUUAAAUUUUUUGGAGAUAGAGUAAAAAAUUGGAUUACAAUCAACGAGCCAUUAAUUACUGCAAAAUUUGGGUAUGAUCUUGGGGUUGAUCCACCAGCAAGGUGUUCUGUUCAAACAGCAUAUCCAUGUAGUGUUGGUGGUAAUUCAGCCACUGAGCCUUACAUUGUUGCCCAUAACAUUCUCCUUGCGCAUGCCGCUGCUGUUGAGCUCUACAGAGAGAAGUUUCAGAGAAAACAAGGUGGACAAAUUGGAAUUAGUCUUGUGGGACAAUAUGUUGAGCCUUAUUCAGAUUCAGCAGAAGACAAAGCUGCAGCAAAAAGAAUUUUGGAUUUUGAACUUGGAUGGUUUGUGGAACCAUUAGUGUAUGGAGCUUAUCCAAGGAGUAUGAGACAGUUAGUCAAGGACAGGCUACCCACCUUCACCGAGAAAGAGACGAUGAUGGUCAACCGGUCCGUCGAUUUUAUUGGUAUCAACUAUUAUACCAGCAGAUAUGGCAAAAAUGAGCCUGCAAGUUCAGGGAAACCAAUUUCCUAUAGCAACGAUCAAUUAGCUUCGUCGUGGACUAGAAAUGCGGAUGGAAUCCAAAUUGGUCCUCUGGCUUCAGGAAGCACGUUCCUCUACACUUAUCCACAAGGUCUGCAGAAACUUCUAGAGUUCAUUAAGAAAGAGUACAGAGACCCUAAAAUCUACAUUACUGAAAAUGGAAUAACCGAAGAGAGGGACGAUAAACUAGGGCUUGAUGAAGCACUUAAGGAUCCACAUAGAAUUCAAUACAUUCUUCAGCAUUUGUACCGGAUCAAGAUGGCAAUCAAGAGCGGUGUGAAUGUCCGAGGAUAUUUCCACUGGGCUCUAUUUGACGACUUUGAAUGGGGGAGUGGCUACACCACAAGAUUCGGGGUUUAUUUUAUCGAUCACAAAGACAAUCUCAAGCGCAUUCCUAAAGUGUCAGCUAAGUGGCUCCCUAAAUUCCUAAAGGGUCAGGCUUGAUGUAUUGAAAAUCUUAGACAUAAUAAAGCUCUAGAUGGUUGAUCAUGCUUCCUUGCAUAAAGAGUUACCUAUAUUAUGUUGAGUGGGAGAGAGCUUGAAAAAAGACUGCCUUGAAGGUCAAGUGGGGACUUUGAGAGUCAAAUCUUCGGUCUCCAUCCGCUGUGGCCUGGACUUGAACUGCGUACUGUAAGUUCCAAAGGAUGUCCUCAAAAGAUGGACGGCUUGACUCUGGACAAAUACAUUUGUUUGUUAUAGAGAUCACGAUCGAUAAAGAUUCUUGUGAGCAAGUAGCUAGAACAAUUGGUUCAACUAUUUUCUUCCGGCCGUCUAGGCUAUUAAGAGAUGCCUGUAAAAAAUUGCAGAAUUAUGAUCAAUCAAUAUCCAUCUAUGGUCA